ACCUGGCGGCAGGCUACACAUGCNAGUCGAGCGGAUGAGAAGAGCUUGCUCUUCGAUUCAGCGGCGGACGGGUGAGUAAUGCCUAGGAAUCUGCCUGGUAGUGGGGGACAACGUUUCGAAAGGAACGCUAAUACCGCAUACGUCCUACGGGAGAAAGCAGGGGACCUUCGGGCCUUGCGCUAUCAGAUGAGCCUAGGUCGGAUUAGCUAGUUGGUGAGGUAAUGGCUCACCAAGGCGACGAUCCGUAACUGGUCUGAGAGGAUGAUCAGUCACACUGGAACUGAGACACGGUCCAGACUCCUACGGGAGGCAGCAGUGGGGAAUAUUGGACAAUGGGCGAAAGCCUGAUCCAGCCAUGCCGCGUGUGUGAAGAAGGUCUUCGGAUUGUAAAGCACUUUAAGUUGGGAGGAAGAGCAGUAAGCGAAUACCUUGCUGUUUUGACGUUACCGACAGAAUAAGCACCGGCUAACUCUGUGCCAGCAGCCGCGGUAAU
rnacentral:rRNA from 1 species